rnacentral:rRNA from 1 species
UACGUAGGGUGCGAGCGUUGUCCGGAAUUAUUGGGCGUAAAGAGCUCGUAGGCGGUCUGUCGCGUCGGAUGUGAAAAUCCAGGGCUCAACCCUGGACCUGCAUUCGAUACGGGCAGACUAGAGUUCGGCAGGGGAGACUGGAAUUCCUGGUGUAGCGGUGAAAUGCGCAGAUAUCAGGAGGAACACCGGUGGCGAAGGCGGGGUCUCUGGGCCGAUACUGACGCUGGAGGAGCGAAAGCGUCGGGGAGCGAACAGG